GACGAACGCUGGCGGCGUGCUUAACACAUGCAAGUCGAACGGAAAGGCCCGGCUUUUGUGGGGUGCUCGAGUGGCGAACGGGUGAGUAACACGUGAGUAACCUGCCCUUGACUUUGGGAUAACUUCAGGAAACUGGGGCUAAUACCGGAUAGGAGCUCCUGCUGCAUGGUGGGGGUUGGAAAGUUUCGGCGGUUGGGGAUGGACUCGCGGCUUAUCAGCUUGUUGGUGGGGUAGUGGCUUACCAAGGCUUUGACGGGUAGCCGGCCUGAGAGGGUGACCGGCCACAUUGGGACUGAGAUACGGCCCAGACUCCUACGGGAGGCAGCAGUGGGAAAUAUUGCACAAUGGGCGGAAGCCUGAUGCAGCAACGCCGCGUGCGGGAUGACGGCCUUCGGGUUGUAAACCGCUUUCGCCUGUGACGAAGCGUGAGUGACGGUAAUGGGUAAAGAAGCACCGGCUAACUACGUG
rnacentral:rRNA from 1 species